rnacentral:rRNA from 1 species
UGCAAGUCGAACGGAGUCCAACUGAUCGCAAGUGAUGUGAAGACUUAGUGGCGAACGGGUGCGUAACACGUGAGAAACCCACCCCGGUCUCUGGGAUAACAGUCGGAAACGUCUGCUAAUACUGGAUACCGCCGGCGGACCGCAUGGUCUGCCGUCGAAAGAUUUAUCGGAUCGGGACGGUCUCGCGGCCUAUCAGCUAGUUGGUGAGGUAAUGGCUCACCAAGGCAUCGACGGGUAGCUGGUCUGAGAGGAUGAUCAGCCACACUGGGACUGAGACACGGCCCAGACUCCUACGGGAGGCAGCAGUGGGGAAUCUUGCACAAUGGGCGAAAGCCUGAUGCAGCAACGCCGCGUGCGGGAUGAAGGCCUUAGGGCUGUAAACCGCUUUCAGCAGGGAAGAAAUUGACGGUACCUGCAGAAGAAGGUGCGGCCAACUACGUGCCAGCAGCCGCGGUGACACGUAGGCACCAAGCGUUGUCCGGAUUUAUUGGGCGUAAAGAGCUCGUAGGCGGUUCAGUUAGUCGGGUGUUAAAACUCUGGGCUCAACCCAGAGACGCCAUCCGAUACUGCUGUGACUAGAGUGCGGUAGGGGAGCGGGGAAUUCCUGGUGUAGCGGUGAAAUGCGCAGAUAUCAGGAGGAACACCAGUGGCGAAGGCGCCGCUCUGGGCCGUAACUGACGCUGAGGAGCGAAAGCGUGGGUAGCAAACAGGAUUAGAUACCCUGGUAGUCCACGCCGUAAACGUUGGGCACUAGGUGUGGGUCUCAACCAACGAGAUCCGCGCCGUCGCUAACGCAUUAAGUGCCCCGCCUGGGGAGUACGGCCGCAAGGCUAAAACUCAAAGGAAUUGACGGGGGCCCGCACAAGCAGCGGAGCGUGUUGCUUAAUUCGAUGCAACGCGAAGAACCUUACCUGGGUUUGACAUGUACCGAAAAGCUCUAGAGAUAGGGUGUCCUUCGGC